rnacentral:lncRNA from 1 species
GGCCCCUCUUCUCCCAGAGAUUCCCGUGGAAUCCUGAGGAUUCCUUCAAGUCUGUGUUAGGAAGGCUUGUUCUCAGCAUGGACUUCUCUGAACUCCCUGACUAAACUUCAUCUGCCCCCAUCCUUGGCACCCCCAGUUCCGUUGCUUACAUCUUUUGUCUCCGUUAUACUUACCACCAUGGGUCACAGUACACGUUACUCAUUCAUUUGUUUCUGUUUAGCUUCCUACCAUUUGAAUGGAAGCUCCUUGAAGGUGCAGAUAAUGGCUAUUUUGUUCACUGCUCAUCCCAUCACUUGGCACACAGUUAGCACUCAAGCAUGGAAUAAAUGAGUAAAUUAAUUAAUGAGCAAAUGCUUGACUUACGUAAUCCCAACGUAAUCCAGGAUCCAUUGGAACCAGUAUCCUCCUUGUGGGGGCUACUCAGUUUCAGGAUCCAGCUUCCCAACUUGCUCUUUAGUUGAAUUCAUUUUGCUUUUUAAACCUCCUAUUAAGAUUUUUAUUUCUCCAAUCAUGGACGUUUUAUUUUCAGAAUUUGUAAUUUUCACUUCAAAAUCCCUAUUUGGUUCUUCCUAUUCUGACUCUACCAUUAUUUUGGUUCUGCCUGUUCUUGUUUCCUAAUUUCCACUUCUUGUUUCAUGGGCACACUCAUUUCCUCACUCUCCAAGAGGAUUCGGAAUGAGCUUUUCUGGUUGCUAUGGAGACCCAUUCACAGAGUAGAUUUCACAGCAUGUUGACAGAGGUGCCAGCUUCUGCAGGAAGCCCUGGGGAUACAGCAGGGAACCCAGGAGAUCAUUCCCUGCCUUCCUCUCAUGCUCUGUGGGAAGGCCUGCCCGUGGGGGAGGGGAAGCUGGCCAAGAAAUACACGAAAAGUAGUGAGUAUGCCACGGAGAGCUACUAG